rnacentral:rRNA from 1 species
AUUGAACGCUGGCGGCAGGCCUAACACAUGCAAGUCGAGCGGAGCGGCGGACGGGUGAGUAAUGCCUAGGAAUCUGCCUGGUAGUGGGGGAUAACGUCCGGAAACGGGCGCUAAUACCGCAUACUAUCAGAUGAGCCUAGGUCGGAUUAGCUAGUUGGUGGGGUAAAGGCCUACCAAGGCGACGAUCCGUACCUGGUCUGAGAGGAUGAUCAGUCACACUGGAACGGAUACACGGUCCAGACUCCUCCGGGAGGCAGCAGUGGGUAAUAUUGGACAAGGGGCGAAAGCCUGAUCCAGCCAGGCCGCGUGGGUGAAGAAGGUCUUCGGAUUGUAAAUCACUUGAAGUUGGGAGGCGUUACCAACAGAAUAAGCACCGGCUAACUUCGUGCCAGCAGCCGCGGUAAUUC